GACGAACGCUGGCGGCGUGCUUAACACAUGCAAGUCGAACGGAAAGGCCCUGCUUUUGUGGGGUGCUCGAGUGGCGAACGGGUGAGUAACACGUGAGUAACCUGCCCUUGACUUUGGGAUAACUUCAGGAAACUGGGGCUAAUACCGGAUAGGAGCUCCUGCUUCAUGGUGGGGGUUGGAAAGUUUCGGCGGUUGGGGAUGGACUCGCGGCUUAUCAGCUUGUUGGUGGGGUAGUGGCUUACCAAGGCUUUGACGGGUAGCCGGCCUGAGAGGGUGACCGGCCACAUUGGGACUGAGAUACGGCCCAGACUCCUACGGGAGGCAGCAGUGGGGAAUAUUGCACAAUGGGCGGAAGCCUGAUGCAGCAACGCCGCGUGCGGGAUGACGGCCUUCGGGUAGUAAACCGCUUUCGCCUGUGACGAAGCGUGAGUGACGGUAAUGGGUAAAGAAGCACCGGCUAACUACGUG
rnacentral:rRNA from 1 species